AGAAAUGCAGAUGAUGACGUAGUUAACGUUGCGGAAGUCAAUACGAAGGAAUCGUAAAAGGUGAGAUUCCGGAGGGUCUGUCGGGGUCAGAGAACC
rfam:Selenihalanaerobacter shriftii strain ATCC BAA-73 genome assembly, contig: EI55DRAFT_scaffold00050.50